rnacentral:rRNA from 1 species
CAGGACCUUGGUUCUAUUUUGUUGGUUUACGGAAUCCAAGGUAAUGGUCAAUAAGGACAGGCGGGGGCAUUCGUAUUGCGGCGUUAGAGGUGAAAUUCUUGGAUCGUCGCAAGACGCACUAGAGCGAAAGCAUUUGCCAAGUAUGUCUUAAUUGAUCAAGAACGAAAGUUAGAGGUUCGAAGGCGAUCAGAUACCGCCCUAGUUCUAACCAUAAACGAUGCCAGCCAGCGAUCCGCCGAUGUUCCUCCGAUGACUCGGCGGGGAGCUUUCCCCGGGAAACCAAAGCUUUUGGGUUCCGGGGGAAGUAUGGUUGCAAAGCUGAAACUUAAAGGAAUUGACGGAAGGGCACCACCAGGAGUGGAGCCUGCGGCUCAAUUUGACUCAACACGGGAAACCUCACCAGGCCCGGACAUUGGAAGGAUUGACAGAUCGAUAGCUCUUUCUCGAUUCAGUGGGUAGUGGUGCAUGGCCGUUCUUAGUUGGUGGACUGAUUUGUCUGGUUAAUUCCGAUAACGAACGAGACUCUAACCUAUUA